CAAUUUAAACAACGAAGAGUUUGAUCCUGGCUCAGGAUGAACGCUAGCGACAGGCUUAACACAUGCAAGUCGAGGGGCAGCGGGGUGUAGCAAUACACCGCCGGCGACCGGCGCACGGGUGAGUAACGCGUAUGCAACUUGCCUAUCAGAGGGGGAUAACCCGGCGAAAGUCGGACUAAUACCGCAUGAAGCAGGGGCCCCGCAUGGGGAUAUUUGCUAAAGAUUCAUCGCUGAUAGAUAGGCAUGCGUUCCAUUAGGCAGUUGGCGGGGUAACGGCCCACCAAACCGACGAUGGAUAGGGGUUCUGAGAGGAAGGUCCCCCACAUUGGUACUGAGACACGGACCAAACUCCUACGGGAGGCAGCAGUGAGGAAUAUUGGUCAAUGGGCGCGAGCCUGAACCAGCCAAGUCGCGUGAGGGAUGAAGGUUCUAUGGAUCGUAAACCUCUUUUAUAAGGGAAUAAAGUGCGGGACGUGUCCCGUUUUGUAUGUACCUUAUGAAUAAGGAUCGGCUAACUCCGUGCCAGCAGCCGCGGUAAUACGGAGGAUCCGAGCGUUAUCCGGAUUUAUUGGGUUUAAAGGGUGCGUAGGCGGCCUUUUAAGUCAGCGGUGAAAGUCUGUGGCUCAACCAUAGAAUUGCCGUUGAAACUGGGGGGCUUGAGUAUGUUUGAGGCAGGCGGAAUGCGUGGUGUAGCGGUGAAAUGCUUAGAUAUCACGCAGAACCCCGAUUGCGAAGGCAGCCUGCCAAGCCAUGACUGACGCUGAUGCACGAAAGCGUGGGGAUCAAACAGGAUUAGAUACCCUGGUAGUCCACGCAGUAAACGAUGAUCACUAGCUGUUUGCGAUACAGUGUAAGCGGCACAGCGAAAGCGUUAAGUGAUCCACCUGGGGAGUACGCCGGCAACGGUGAAACUCAAAGGAAUUGACGGGGGCCCGCACAAGCGGAGGAACAUGUGGUUUAAUUCGAUGAUACGCGAGGAACCUUACCCGGGUUUGAACGCAUUCGGACCGAGGUGGAAACACCUUUUCUAGCAAUAGCCGUUUGCGAGGUGCUGCAUGGUUGUCGUCAGCUCGUGCCGUGAGGUGUCGGCUUAAGUGCCAUAACGAGCGCAACCCUUGCCACUAGUUACUAACAGGUGAUGCUGAGGACUCUGGUGGGACUGCCAGCGUAAGCUGCGAGGAAGGCGGGGAUGACGUCAAAUCAGCACGGCCCUUACAUCCGGGGCGACACACGUGUUACAAUGGCGUGGACAAAGGGAGGCCACCUGGCGACAGGGAGCGAAUCCCCAAACCACGUCUCAGUUCGGAUCGGAGUCUGCAACCCGACUCCGUGAAGCUGGAUUCGCUAGUAAUCGCGCAUCAGCCAUGGCGCGGUGAAUACGUUCCCGGGCCUUGUACACACCGCCCGUCAAGCCAUGGGAGCCGGGGGUACCUGAAGUCCGUAACCGCAAGGAUCGGCCUAGGGUAAAACUGGUGACUGGGGCUAAGUCGUAACAAGGUAGCCGUACCGGAAGGUGCGGCUGGAACACCUCCUUUCUGGA
rnacentral:rRNA from 1 species